CACGUAGGGGGCGAGCGUUGUCCGGAUUUAUUGGGCGUAAAGAGCUCGUAGGCGGCUCAGUAAGUCAGGUGUGAAAACUCCAGGCUCAACCUGGAGACGCCACUUGAUACUGCUGUGGCUAGAGUCCGGUAGGGGAGCAUGGAAUUCCUGGUGUAGCGGUGAAAUGCGCAGAUAUCAGGAGGAACACCGAUGGCGAAGGCAGCUCGCUGGGACGGUACUGACGCUGGAGGCGCGAAAGCGUGGGGAGCGAACAGG
rnacentral:rRNA from 1 species